rnacentral:rRNA from 1 species
CCCUUCGAUGUCCUGGGCUGCACGCGCGCUACACUGAUAAGUUCAACAAGUUCCACACCUUGCUCGAGAGGGCUGGGUAAUCUUUUAAAAGCUUAUCGUGAUGGGGAUAGAUGAUUGCAAUUAUUCGUCUUCAACGAGGAAUGCCUAGUAAACGCGAGUCAUCACCUCGCAUUGAUUACGUCCCUGCCCUUUGUACACACCGCCCGUCGCUCCUACCGAUUGAAUGGUCCGGUGAAGCCUCCGGAUUGAGACUGGCUCGGGGCAACUCGUCCAGUUUCGAGAAGUUGUCUAAACCUUACCAUUUAGAGGAAGGAGAAGUCGUAACA